UACGAAGGGGGCUAGCGUUGCUCGGAAUCACUGGGCGUAAAGCGCACGUAGGCGGAUUGCUAAGUCAGGGGUGAAAUCCUGGAGCUCAACUCCAGAACUGCCCUUGAUACUGGCGGUCUCGAGUCCGGGAGAGGUGAGUGGAACUGCGAGUGUAGAGGUGAAAUUCGUAGAUAUUCGCAAGAACACCAGUGGCGAAGGCGGCUCACUGGCCCGGUACUGACGCUGAGGUGCGAAAGCGUGGGGAGCAAACAGGGAGUUAAG
rnacentral:rRNA from 1 species